rnacentral:rRNA from 1 species
AGAGUUUGAUCCUGGCUCAGGACGAACGCUGGCGGCGCGCCUAACACAUGCAAGUCGAACGAGCGAGAGAGAGCUUGCUUUCUCGAGCGAGUGGCGAACGGGUGAGUAACGCGUGAGGAACCUGCCUCAAAGAGGGGGACAACAGUUGGAAACGACUGCUAAUACCGCAUAAGCCCACGGGUCGGCAUCGACCAGAGGGAAAAGGAGCAAUCCGCUUUGAGAUGGCCUCGCGUCCGAUUAGCUGGUUGGUGAGGUAACGGCCCACCAAGGCGACGAUCGGUAGCCGGACUGAGAGGUUGAACGGCCACAUUGGGACUGAGACACGGCCCAGACUCCUACGGGAGGCAGCAGUGGGGAAUAUUGCACAAUGGGGGAAACCCUGAUGCAGCGACGCCGCGUGGAGGAAGAAGGUCUUCGGAUUGUAAACUCCUGUUGUUGGGGAAGAUAAUGACGGUACCCAACAAGGAAGUGACGGCUAACUACGUGCCAGCAGCCGCGGUAAAACGUAGGUCACAAGCGUUGUCCGGAAUUACUGGGUGUAAAGGGAGCGCAGGCGGGAAGACAAGUUGGAAGUGAAAUCCAUGGGCUCAACCCAUGAACUGCUUUCAAAACUGUUUUUCUUGAGUAGUGCAGAGGUAGGCGGAAUUCCCGGUGUAGCGGUGGAAUGCGUAGAUAUCGGGAGGAACACCAGUGGCGAAGGCGGCCUACUGGGCACCAACUGACGCUGAGGCUCGAAAGUGUGGGUAGCAAACAGGAUUAGAUACCCUGGUAGUCCACACCGUAAACGAUGAUUACUAGGUGUUGGAGGAUUGACCCCUUCAGUGCCGCAGUUAACACAAUAAGUAAUCCACCUGGGGAGUACGACCGCAAGGUUGAAACUCAAAGGAAUUGACGGGGGCCCGCACAAGCAGUGGAGUAUGUGGUUUAAUUCGACGCAACGCGAAGAACCUUACCAAGUCUUGACAUCCGUUGACCGACAUAGAAAUAUGUUUUUCCUUCGGGACAGCGAGACAGGUGGUGCAUGGUUGUCGUCAGCUCGUGUCGUGAGAUGUUGGGUUAAGUCCCGCAACGAGCGCAACCCUUAUGGUCAGUUACUACGCAAGAGGACUCUGGCCAGACUGCCGUUGACAAAACGGAGGAAGGUGGGGAUGACGUCAAAUCAUCAUGCCCUUUAUGACUUGGGCUACACACGUACUACAAUGGCGUUAAACAAAGAGAAGCAAGACCGCGAGGUGGAGCAAAACUCAGAAACAACGUCCCAGUUCGGACUGCAGGCUGCAACUCGCCUGCACGAAGUCGGAAUUGCUAGUAAUCGUGGAUCAGCAUGCCACGGUGAAUACGUUCCCGGGCCUUGUACACACCGCCCGUCACACCAUGAGAGCCGGGGGGACCCGAAGCCGGUAGUCUAACCGCAA